rnacentral:rRNA from 1 species
UACAGAGGUCUCAAGCGUUGUUCGGAUUCAUUGGCGUAAAGGGUGCGUAGGCGGCGCGGUAAGUCGGGUGUGAAAUCUCGGAGCUUAACUCCGAACUGCAUUCGAUACUGCCGUGCUUGAGGACUGGAGAGGAGACUGGAAUUUACGGUGUAGCGGUGAAAUGCGUAGAUAUCGUAAGGAAGACCAGUGGCGAAGGCGGGUCUCUGGACAGUUCCUGACGCUGAGGCACGAAGGUCAGGGGAGCAAACGGG